GCUGUACAGACUACCACCGGCUG
rnacentral:piRNA from 1 species